CCUACGGGUGGCAGCAGUGAGGAAUAUUGGUCAAUGGAGGAGAGUCUGAACCAGCCACGUAGCGUGCAGGAUGACGGCCCUAGGGGUUGUAAACUUCUUUUAUAUGGGAAUAAAAUGAUUCACGUGUGGGAUAUUGCAGGUACCGCAUGAAUAAGGACCGGCUAAUUCCGUGCCAGCAGCCGCGGUAAUACGGAGGUUCCGAGCGUUAUCCGGAUUUAUUGGGGUUAAAGGUUGCGUAGGCGGCUGGUUAAGGUAGUGGUGAAGGGUCGCGGCUCAACCGUGAGAUUGCAGUGGAAACUGGCAGUCUUGAGUGCAGUAGAGGUGGGCGGAAUUCGUGGUGGAGCGGUGAAAUGCUUAGAUAUCACGAAGAACUCCGAUUGCGAAGGCAGUUCACUGGACUGUAACUGACACUGAGGCUCGAAGGUGGGGGUAUCAAACAGGAUUAGAUACCCCAGUAGUC
rnacentral:rRNA from 1 species